rnacentral:rRNA from 1 species
AUGGUGAGCACACUGUCCCUCAACAUCCAGCAGUGCGUCGUCGACUGCUUCAACGACUUCGCCAUGCACGCCUCCUUCUCCAAGCUGAUUGAUUCGAGUUUUAUAUGCAGAUGCAGAGGGAGAUGUGCUGCUGGAUCUUAUAAGGAGGUCACUCUGACAAGACUGGCUAGCUGUGAUUCUCGUGGGAAUAAAGAGGAUGGGACCUGUGAUUGUCAUGGAUCUGGAGGUGACACUGAUCAGGAAGGCUACGAAGACAAGUCUUCAUGA